GCUGCGGUAUGCCCCUUUGAGCGUCAUUGUAUCCCUUCGGGAGUCCUUUUACAAGGACCCGAGYUCGGAGUCCUCGGUCCUCUCUGGAUCGUGUUCUCUCAGAUGCCUCGCGCCGAUCGCCUGAUGGGUCCUCUAAUGCCUAAGCGUGGAGUUCCUUCAGUCCGAGACGCGCUYGACCGGGUCUUGAGCCUGCGUCAUCAAGUCUGCCUAACCAGCGGUACUACAACGCAUGACCUCAUUGGGGUAGGACAACCCGCUAGACUUAAGCAUAUUAAUCAGCGGAGGAAAAGAAACUAACCAGGAUUCCCUCAGUAACUGCGAGUGAAGCGGGAUCGGCUCAAUGUGUGAAUCUGGCUUGGGGUACGUCCCGGGUCCGAGUUGUGCACUACGGAUGCUUCGUCUGCGUUUGUAAAGGCGGUGGAAGUCCGUUGAAACACGGCACCUCAGAGGGUCACAGUCCUGUACCACCUGCCUGCACUCGCGCCAAUGACAAGUGCUCCUCGAGUCGCGUAGUUUUGUAAUGCUGCGCCAAGUGGGAGGUAGAGACCUUCUAAGGCUAAAUAUGAUGACGUGACCGAUAGCACACAAGUACCGCGAGGGAAAGGUGAAAAGCAACCAUGAAAAAUGGGUUGAAACAGUAGUGAAAGCGCUACCGGGAUAAGGGCUAUCGGGUGCUGGGGCUCUUUGGGUGUGCUUUAGUGCUACCCUCGGAGACGGCCCGCGAGGGUUGAYGUUGGGGCGAUAGACGCGCYGCAGGA
rnacentral:rRNA from 1 species